rnacentral:misc_RNA from 1 species
GAAGAACAGGAUGGUAGAAGACGAUAUGACCUUCGCAACCGAGCUGAGGUACGCAGACUUUCUAUGGAAGGUGUUAAACAAAGGCCAAGAUCUCCUCGUAGGGUACUUCAGCAAGGGAUGGGGACCAAGGUGAACAGAGAUGUAAGAAGAGGAGGAUCCCGAGUUCAUAAACGUCAUCGGAUGACACGAGGCGAUGACUCUGAUGAUUCUCUUCUUGUAGAUGAGCUGGACGAAGGUCCUCCAAUUCCUUGGGGUAGAGGUGGGAGUAGAUCUGGACCACCUUGGCUUUUAGGGGGAUUAGAUAUGCAAGGAACAACAUCGUGGGGAUUAAAUGUGGCUGCAUCUGGAU